GAUGAACGCUGGCGGCGUGCCUAAUACAUGCAAGUCGAGCGAACGGACGCGAAGCUUGUUGUUCUGAUUUUAGCGGCGGACGGGUGUGUAACACGUGGAUAAUCUCCCUAUAAGUCUGGGAUAAUUUCGGGAAACCGGAGCUAAUACCGGAUCAUAUUCUGCACCGCAUGGUUCAAAUGUGAAAGACGGUUUUGCUGUCACUUAUAGAUGGACCCGCGCUGCAUUAGCUAGUUGGUAAGGUAACGGCUUACCAAGGCAACGAUGCAUAGCCGACCUGAGAGGGGGAUCGGCCACACUGGAACGGAGACACGGUCCAGACUCCUACGGGAGGCAGCAGAAGGGAAUCUUCCGCAAAGGGCGAAAGCCUGACGGAGCAACGCCGCGGGAGUGAUGAAGGUCUUCGGAUCGUAAAACUCUUUUAUUAGGGAAGAACAUAUGUGUAAGUAACUGUGCGCAUCUUGACGGUACCUAAUCAGAAAGCCACGGCUAACUACGUG
rnacentral:rRNA from 1 species